rnacentral:tRNA from 1 species
GCCCCCAUAGCUUAAUGGAUAAAGCAGCGGACUUCUAAGCCGUUGAUCUAGGUUCGAUUCCUGGUGGGGGCA